CGAUGGACCUGGGUUUGGGUUAGGGUGGACUCUGGGAGUUGGUGAUGGACAGGGAGGCCUGGAGUGCUGUGGUUCGUGGGGUCGCAAAGAGUCGGAGUGACUGAACUGAACUGAUACAUUAUUUGUCCUUCUGGGGUUUUUUCCUGGUCAAAAAAAAUUUUUUUUAACUAUGGUGAAAUUCACAUGACAUAAAAUGAACCUUUUUUAUUUUUCCUCAUUUCAAAUGAGUUGGUCUGAUUUCAGGUGGUACAGAGAUCAGGAUAGAACACAGACUUAAGAACACACUUUGGCAGGAUUCUGGACUGGGUUUAUGUGCAUUCAUAGCUGAGGCAGAAAUGGCUGAGAAGAACUAAAGACGAACCAGUGUGUGUGUGUGUGUUUUACAAAAGUCUGUUCUUAAAUGUAGAAUAGGUUCUGUGACAACACUUCUAGCUAUAGGUGGCAACAGAUACUGUGGCAGCGAAUCCAGGCAUUUAGAGAGGAAUGGAACUAAGGGUCGUCGUCGCCUCAGGCACAAGGAACAGCUUCCCUUUUGGCCAGAUUUCUCAAUUCCACCAGUGACUGGGGGCCUUGCCCCGAGGCCUUCACUUUUAGCUCCUUCCCCUCUUCCUCCUGUUAGUGCGUGAACACCUCAUCUUCCUCCUCCACCUCCUUGUUGCUCCUUCGGCCGCUGCUGGGGCUUCCUGCCGCCUUCGCGGCCCCACGUGGCUCCUGCCGCUAAAAGGAGCCACGUUAAAGAGAACAGCUCGGUGGCGCUUGGCGGGUGGUGGGGUCACGACCAUCGCGGCCUCUGUCUAGUGUGACAACUGUGUCCUCGCCCAGAAGGACACGCCGCACCUGACGAGCGGGUGUUCCCCCACGUCCCCCCUUCCACACGCUGCGACCACUGCCCUGGGCUCUGUCCCUGUGAGUUUCCUGGUUCUGGACGUUCUCUACAAAUGCUAUCAUCCAGGACGGGGCCUUUCCCUCGGCGCGUUUUCAGCGCUCGUCCGUGCUGUGGCGUGGGUCGGCACUCCACUCCCCCCACGGCGGCACCAGACCCUAUCGUAGAGGCAGGCCGCACGUCCCCGGCUGGUGGCCGUUGGGACCGUUUCCCCCGUCUGGGUGCUAUAUGUUACAUAGACAUCCUGCGGCCAUGGGCGCAGGGCCGCAUGCGCUGAAAGAACCCCUUUCAGUUCUCUCGGGGUGUACGCCUACGAGCGACCUUGCCGGCUCAUGUGGCAAUUCUGUGUGUGACCUUCUGGGGACGCGAGCAGCCUGUCCCCUGUGGAGCCUGCCCUGACUUCCCCCACGCACACUCGGGGGACGACAGCUUUGCCAGCCUCUCCGUUACAGCAGCCCCCUCAUCGAAUGGCAUCUUCAGUUUACGUGUGGUUUUUGCCACACUGAAUGGCUUCCUCCGGUAACCGAGCCCUAGGUCAGGAAACACCCUCCUCCAUUCCUUCUCGCCACCAUUCAGGCGAAGUAAUCCCACAAUCCUGGCUCAGGAGACAGACGAGUAAUUCCAGGCAGGGCAGUCAGCGUCGGUCCGGAGGCUCUUGCUGGCUGAGUUGGGAAAGAGGAACUCUUCCCUUUGUUACCGAGAGGGACCCUGUGUGCCCAGGGCUGCCAGGAACACAGCCCGAGGCCAAGAGGGAGGGAGGCAAGGCCAAGACAGGGACGAGAGAAACAGGUUCCUGCCAGACGAGUUUGACUCCUGGAUGCAGCCAUGCCUGAAGCCAGUUUCAGUUCUAGAAGCUCCCAGUUCAGGAGCCAGUGCCUGCGUGCUCACAAGCGCGUCGUGUCCAACUGUCUGCGACCCAGUGGGCUGCAGCCCACCAGGCUCCUCUGUCCAUGGGAUUCUCCAGGCAAGAGUACUGGAGUGGGUAGCCAUGCCCUUCUCCAGGGGAUCUUCCCGACCCAGGGAUCGAACCUGGGUCUCUUGCCAGGCGGGUUCUUUACGAUUAGUGCCACCGGGGAAGCUCUCAUGAACCAGUAAGUUCCCUUUCUCGCUGAAGCUAGUUUGAGUUGGGUUUCAUCAUCCGCAGCCCGGAGAUGCACGUGACGGUGGACUCGUAAGAGACAGUCUGCCAGCCUCCUCCCUUCCAGGACCACACCGCCCCGCACUUCAGCCGUGCCGUCUGCACAGUAGUGGCCCAUCGUCACAGCCACGCGAGGGACCGGGAGGGUCAGUUCUAGUUCCCGGGUUAUGGAAGCGGGUGAGUAUGAAGUCUGUGAGAGUUGUCGGCGGGAGCAAGUCCACACAGGCAAAGAGGUGAGAUGGGCACAGCCCAGCACCCCGGGCCCCGGCCCAGCUCUGCAGCCGGCCAUGGGGUCCUCGCCGGGGUUCACGUGUAUAAGACAUACCUAUGCUCCGCUUGAACUUCCCUGGUGGUUCAGAUGGUAAGGCGUCUGCCUGCAAUGCGGGAGACCGGGGUUCGAUCCCUGGGUUGGGAAGAUCUCCUGGAGACGGGAAUGCCGACCCAUUCCAGUAUUCUUGCCUGGAGAAUCCCACGGACGGAGGAGCUUGGUAGGCUACAGUCCAUGGGGUUGCAAAGAGUCGGACACGACUGAGUGACUUCACUUAUGCUCCUCUUAACUAGGCACACUUUGGGGGCCCAAUCUAAGGAGGAACUGUGUGGAAAUUCCAACACCCAACUGUUUUUUGAGCUAUAAAAGUGACCAUUUCAUAUGGCGCAGUGUCGUGUGAACGGUGUAUUCUGCUGAUGAGGUCAGAGAGGUCGGGGUCUUGCCCGAGAGACUGCCUGUGUGCUCAUUCAUGUCUGAUUCUCUGCGACCCUUGGGACUGUAGCCCGCCAGGCUCCUCUGUCCAUGGGAUUCUCCAGGCAAAGAACACUGAAGUGGGAUGCCAUUCCCUUCUCCAGGGGAUCUUCCCGACCCAGGGAUCGAACUCAUGUCUCCUGCAUUGCAGGCAGAUUUUUUUUUUUUCCACUGUCUGAGCCACCAUGGAAACCCAGGAGGGCGUCGUGAGUCACCUCGCCAGGGACCCAGAUCAGCAGCCCACAGGCAGUAGAUACUCGGUGAAAGCCCACCGGCCCUGCCGGUGUCCUGGCCGCCCUUCGCCUCACUGACAAAACGCGUGCUGUCGCCUCCGCCCCUUCGCACGUGCUGUUGUCUCUGCCCUGUCCUCCCUCUUGUCUGCUAGGAGUUUCUCUUCUUCCUUCAGAGAGCCCCGCUUCUCAGAGGGCCUCCUUGAGCAGCCCCUCUCCCCGCAGCCCCCAGACAGACCAGGAGGCCGUCUUCAGUCCCUUCUCCAUGUCCGGGGCCCAGCGGCAGCGGAACGGGGCUCCGUGAUCACACUGUGAGUGGUGGUCGAGCAGUUACGUGACUGUCGGCCCCGCUGGGACUGCAAGCAGACCUGGGGAGGGGCCGGUCUCUCUGCUCUGAGACCUGGGACUCUCACUGGUCUCAGGUGUGAGACAGCGGUGAGGUAGACAUCUCCCAGACGUGGGACAAGUACCCAGAGGAGCCUGCAUCUGCAGGGAGGCUGGCCUGACACUUCAGAGCCCGCUGCCUGGACCCACCCAUCAGAGAACUGCAAACUGGCUAGCUGGCGGCCCCCGCGAAAGAAUUCAGCAACACCGCACCCUCUGACACGUUCAAAACCAACGUCGACAAUGUCGAAGCCAAGCUGACAAAAGGAUUGGGCCCUCCUGCCAUUUUGUCACAAGCAAGAAAUGGAAACCACUGGACCUGCCAAAGGAUUUAUCUCCCAGUACUGGCAGCCCUCACAGCCCUUCUUCCUCUCCAGACCCAGCGCAGGACUUCCCCUGGCUUGCCAGCUGGGGGCAUUUGCCUUUGCUUCCCAAAGCGAGAAGCUGUUUCCUCAAGGAGUCAUUGGAAACCCGUGGUGGAUGGCUGGAGAGCAGCCCUUGGCCAAAGGACCCGGAGAAACGGUUCAGGCCAGGAAGAAUGAAAAAGGGAAUCCAUCUCAGGCUGGAAAGCGAGGCCGGGAGAGGGCACGUUGUCGUCGAGCAUGGCUGGAAACGAAGCCUUCCUGACUUCUCUGUUCUCAGCAAACUGCUGGCCCGUCUCUUCAUCCAGUCUGACUCAGAUGCAGCCUAAGUCUGGGCACCCACGAUCGGCUCUCUGACUUCACUCCCUCCCGCCAGGCUCCUCCCCCAGCCCCGGGUCUCGGUCCACACGGCCCCUCGGCCCCGGCUGCCGCCCGGGGCUGCCUCUUCCUCCCGUGCUUUCUGCCAGGACGUCACCUGCCCAGAGCCUCCGGCGACCACCCCUCUCGCUGAGCCUUCCCUCGCCGGUCUCCCAGCUUGUGCAACCGCGCAGUCACUUGUCGUCUAAAGGAUGCUCUGCGCCCCCUCUGCCCCCGUCCCCCACUGGAAUGGGGGUCUCCUGCGGACGCGACCUUCUGGUUCCCCGGGUACAAAGCGGGGGCGCUGGCGAGGACAGCGGGGUUUGUCCCGUCUCCUCGAUUCCCCAGCUUUGCAGACACGUGACCGUCGGCGAGGGAAUGUCCCCUCCACCACCCCCCACCCCCACCGGCGUCUGUGAUUUCAGAGGGGCUCAAAGCCCCAAGGGGGAAGGGAGGAGCGGGUAGCCGAGUGACCCUGGUCUCUGGGGACAGAGUGCUGGCCAGAGUCCGGAGCCAGGAGCACGCGGGGCUCGGUCCCCGGCUCUGGCCUCCAUCCUGCAAACGAGGAGGGGGCGGCACCGGCGAGGGGAGGCUCCACUGCGCGACCCGGGGGACCCCCAGCCCCGGGCCGCGGAGGGUCCCACCCCCGGCACAAUGCGGGGCGGGGCCGGAGCGGACGUGCGGACAAUGGCCCUCGCCCACCCGGCGCCGCUUCCGGCCCUUCCCAGCCCCGGCGGGUGGAAGGGGACACUGGGGAGGCCGGCGCGGCUCCCGGGGCCACACGUCCCGGGCGGGGACCAGGCAGCGCCCGCGCAAGGAGCCUCUCGCGGCCCCCACGACGGCGGGGCCCUAGGAGAUGAGUACCCCCAGACCCGUCCCGCACGUGGCCAAGGGGAGUGGUGGCUUAAAAAAAAAAAAAAAGGUUUUGCUUUGUUUUUUUUCUAUCGAGAUGUAAUUUAGCUAGAGGGAAAUGGACAGAUGUCAAACAUGAGAAUAUUUACACUGUUAUGCAGGAGGAAAUGGCCACCUAGCCCAGUAUUCUUGCCUGGGAAAUCCCAUGGACAGAGGAGACUGGGGGACUACAGUCCACGGGGUCCCAAAGAGGCUGAGCGACUAAAAACAACUAUCCUUAUUCACGAGAGCCCCACCUUCACGACUGCUCACCCUGCAAAAGAUUCCCCCUCCUAAUGCAAUCACAUUGUGGAUUAGGACUUAACAGAUGAAUUUGAGGGGGGGACCGCGUUCCACCUACUGCAGAGCCUCCGGAAGAGCCAUUGAAAAGCAAAUGAGGAAAGAGGGGAGUGAACACAGGUGCUGUCUGGAAGCCCAGGAUGUGGGAGGCAGGCAGCGAGCCCAUGCACCCCGCAGGCAGGCCGUGCCCAGGGCUGGACCACGAAUCCGGCGGCACCAGGAGGCCGGGCCCUGCCUCCCAAGCCCCUUGUGCUCUGAGUUUAGGAAGAUGGGGAGGUGGGGCCAGGAGGGGCCUGCCUCCCGGCCUUCAGCAGGCCCUCGUUGCAUUUGUGCUGUAUGCGGGGCACUCUGGCACGGAGCACCAGCCGCUGCCCUGGUGGAGGUGCCAGUCUGUCAGGAGAGGUGGUUGACAGCCCCGAUGAGCCGGGAGCACCCCUGUGAAGGGGGCCGUGUGAGCAGACACUCGAGUGAUGAGAAGGCAGCAGGCCCGGGGAAAGGGCGUAAGAGACGGAAUAGUCAGAGCCAAGGCCGGGGAGCGACAGUGUGCCAGGCGGACUCAAGAGAGAGCGUGGGGACAGUGGGAGGAGCCAAGACCAGCCAGGGCACGGAGGGGAGAGGGCACCUUGGUUGGCCUCGGUGGCAGAGACAGAGUACCGCCGCGCGACAACAGGAAUUUCUUUU